UGUUGUAAUUUCUAAAACAAUCCUUACCUGUCUAUCAGUCCUGUGAAAGCAAAACUAGUGUUCUUUGGGAAUAAUAGUCUUCAGGAAAUUACAGCUCACCUCAUCUUGAAUGUGCGUAGAAGGAGUGAGAUUAGGAGGCACAAGGUAUUCUGACUAAGCUGGGUUCUGAUGCUGUUGGAGCUCCUGCAACAGGGCUGCUUCGCUGGAAAAACCCUUGUGUGUAUGGGRACCAUCACCUCCAUGUCACCUUUACUGAAGAUACUGUUGUUCCUGUAUGUCACUGUUUUCCUAUGCAAAAUGACUUGGCGUGUCCUUUAUCCUGCCCAGCUUCACUCUCUAUUACUCCAGUGGCUUCUUCCUUCAGUAGCAGCCAAGAAACUUUGAGUCAAGAUUCUACAGGAGCUCAAUUGCUGCGGGACUUGAUCCUUCCGCUGUCUCCUGGCCUGUGGUGCAUCAAYGUGUCCUUGUCUUCUGUGUUGCCAGCAAAUAUCUAGGAUUGAAUUGCUUCCUUCUCACUACAAGUGAGAAGCAACUGUAGACUUGGUGAGACCGUCUUAAAGAAAAAUGAAUGAACAAGCAAACAAACAGAACAGC